UUGUCGGCAUCGAUAGAUUUUGAAAGCUCCGGCGGUUAAAGAUGAGUAUGCGUCUGAUUAGCUAGUUGGUGAGGUAACGGCUCACCAAGGCGACGAUCAGUAGGGGAUCUGAGAGGAUUAACCCCCACACGGAUACUGAGACACGGAUCCGACUCCUACGGGAGGCAGCAGUAAGGAAUAUUGGACAAUGCCCGCAAGGGUGAUCCAGCCAUGCCGCGUGCAGGAAGACGGCCCUAUGGGUUGUAAACUGCUUUUACACCGGAGAAAACCUCCCCUCGUGAGGGGAGCUGAUAGUAUGGUGAGAAUAAGCAUCGGCUAACUUCGUGCCAGCAGCCGCGGUAAGACGAAGGAUGCAAGCGUUAUCCGGAUUCAUUGGGUUUAAAGGGAGCGUAGGUGGCCUUAUAAGUCAGCGGUGAAAUCUCUGGGCUUAACCCAGAAAUUGCCAUUGAUACUGUAGGGCUUGAGUACAGUUGCUGUGGGCGGAAUAUGACAUGUAGUGGUGAAAUACAUAGAGAUGUCAUAGAACACCGAUUGCGAAGGCAGCUCACAAAACUGUAACUGACACUGAGGCUCGAAAGUGCGGGGAUCAAACAGGAUUAGAUACCCUGGUAGUCCGCACUGUAAACGAUGAUUACUCGCUGCUGGGAGGUAACUUUCAGUGGCUUAGCGAAAGCGAUAAGUAAU
rnacentral:rRNA from 1 species